CUACGGGCUGCAGCAGUGGGGAAUAUUGGACAAUGGGCGAAAGCCUGAUCCAGCAAUACCGCGUGUGUGAAGAAGGCCUGAGGGUUGUAAAGCACUUUCAAUAGGGAGGAACACCUAGGGGUUAAUAGCCCGUAGACUGACAUUACCUAUAGAAGAAGCACCGGCUAACUCCGUGCCAGCAGCCGCGGUAAUACGGAGGGUGCAAGCGUUAAUCGGAAUUACUGGGCGUAAAGCGUACGUAGGCGGUUGAUUAAGUUAGAUGUGAAAGCCCCGGGCUUAACCUGGGAACUGCAUUUAAAACUGGUCAACUAGAGUUGAGUAGAGGGGAGUGGAAUUUCAGGUGUAGCGGUGAAAUGCGUAGAGAUCUGAAGGAACACCAGUGGCGAAGGCGGCUCCCUGGACUCAAACUGACGCUGAGGUACGAAAGCGUGGGUAGCAAACGGGAUUAGAUACCCCCGUAGUC
rnacentral:rRNA from 1 species